UUUUACUCUCUCUAAAAAAAAUCAUAUUUUACUCUGCAUUUUACGUAAUGUACUCACCAUAAUCACCAAUUCAAUGUCAAGAUAUCAUAUGGUUUGUUGCAAUCUGCUCGCUAUGUGCUUUCUCUUGUGAUUACAAUUGCAAGUUUAGUUAUGAUUUAUUUGAUUCAAUUGAUCUCUUAAAGCAUGCUGCUAAAAUUUGAAUCACAUGCUAUUUUGUUAGUGUGAUAAUUUAGUAAGAGUAUUUCUAAUUUGAUCAGUGUUAUGCGUGAGAUUUUUGGAGUUUCAUUGUGUAACCUGUUCUGGAAAAGUGUACUGAGGAGUUGAUGAUAAUUUGAGGCUAUAACUCUUGUUUGUGGUAUAAUACUGGAGUUUCAUAGGGUUUGAUAGCAAUAUUUUUAUGUAAUGUUUGAUUUGUAUAAAAAUACAAAGCAAGGAAAUGAAGAAAGCAACAUAAAUGGGUAAGAAAUCAUUAACCACAAGCUUCAAAUCUUCAAGAUCAAAGUGUGUGUGCAAAGCCCUAGCUUCCAAAACUUAUUCUCUCAAGCCCUAAGAACUGAAGAAAUGCCAAAAGAUAUCCAAAAAUAUGAAUUGCCUAAUUUGCCCAAGUCUGAUGCCCGACAAUCGUACCAGCAGAAGAAUCAUCGUAGGUGUGGAUCUGCAGAUGAAGAGCUCCCAUUGCAUACAUGAUUUUUAGCUAACACUUUUCUACCGUAGAUGUGGUUCACCAGGUGCAGAUGCGCCACCGCAGAAGUAGAAAACCAAUUGCAGAUGUGAUUCUUGAGAAAUUGUCCAGCUCCACAUGUGUUUACCCGUAGAAGCGAGGUCGCUUCUGCGACCAUUCUUCCAUAGAUGCGGAAUCACUGGAGAAUUUUACAUCAUUUUCACCUCUUUUGCUCAAUUCCAAAGAAAUUCAAUUCAAAUCGCUUCGUAGUAUUAUUUACCUGAAAAUUUAACAAUACACAUCAUAAAUGACCUCAUAUUUAUAGUUAAAGGAUAUAAAAGCUAAGGAAAAUAAACUAGAUUGAGUGAUAAAAUCACCACUCAUCAAGGUUACCAAGAGAUCUUCGAGAGACCAAGAGAUCCCUAGUGUAUAUAUAUUCAGUAUACCAAGAUAUCCUCGGGAUAGCAAGAGAUCCUGGUUAUUAUCAUUGUUGUGUGCGGUAUUUCCUUGUGGUUUGCCUUUAUUUCUAUUACGUUAUUGUACUCUUAUUAUCAUGUAUAGAUUCUUACUGUAAAUUUCAAUUACACUGUUCAUCUUAUUCGGUCAUUGUAUUAUUUACUUACUCUCAGUAGCGCCCUGAUCUUCCUCGCCACUACCUAACCGAGGUUAGGCUUGGCACUUACUGAGUAUUGCUGUUGUGUACUCAUGCCUGUUCUCUGUAUGUUGUUGAUGUUCAGAUCCAUGUACUUCUACUCAGGCCUACCAUCCUUAAGGGAGGUAUCUGCUAUAGAGACUUUGAGGUACAUCUUCCGCGUCCGCAGACCGAGGAGUCCCUUUCCAUUCUAGUUGUUAAAUAUUGCGCUUCUAUAUUUUUGUUUCUUGUUAGAUAUUCUGGAGUUAGACAGUUAGAUAUUCCAAAGGCUUGUGUUCCCAUAAGUUUCCA
rnacentral:lncRNA from 1 species